rnacentral:rRNA from 1 species
AUACGUAGGGUGCAAGCGUUAAUCGGAAUUACUGGGCGUAAAGCGUGCGCAGGCGGUUUUGUAAGACAGAGGUGAAAUCCCCGGGCUCAACCUGGGAACUGCCUUUGUGACUGCAAGGCUAGAGGACGGCAGAGGGGGGUGGAAUUCCGCGUGUAGCCGUGAAAUGCGUAGAUAUGCGGAGGAACACCGAUGGCGAAGGCAAUCCCCUGGGCCUGUACUGACGCUCAUGCACGAAAGCGUGGGGAGCAAACAGGAUUAGAUACCCUGGUAGUCCACGCCCUAAACGAUGUCAACUGGUUGUUGGGUCUUCAUUGACUCAGUAACGAAGCUAACGCGUGAAGUUGACCGCCUGGGGAGUACGGCCACAAGGUUGAAACUCAAAUGAAUUGGCGGGG